UUUCCUCCAAGAACUAUUUUCCAAUAAUCAUGGCAGCAUCAUGCUUAAAGACCAUUAUUGCUUCCUCUAACACAUUUCAAGAUUCUUCUCAAAUGUGCAUCUAAAGAGUUGUAUAGUUUAAAUUUUUUUCAUCCAUUAACCUAGUACAGUUAUUCAAUGAUUUUUCCAACUCAGUUUAAGCUGACAUUUCUGUCUCUCUGUCUCUGUCAGUCUCUGUCUUUCUGUCUCUCGAUGUCUCUCUCUGUUUCUCUGUCUUUCUCUGUCAUACACACGCACGCGUGCGUGCACACAUACACACACACACACACCCUCACUUAUGAAAACAGCCUCUGAAGAUUCUAAUUGAAGGCUGUAGGACAAGUAUCAUUCUUGAUGCUUCUGGACUACAGAAGUGUUGUUAAAGGAAAUAAAGGAAGCAGUCAAUAAGCAGCACUUGGAAGGUGCAUAGUUUGAUGCUUCUGUUUGGCAAGUUACCUGCUAUAAAUUUUCUCGGUAUUUUACUCCCUGCUAAGUACUAGCUGUAACCAAGUUUUACUGCCAGUGUCUCUGGAAUUGUCCACUCAUGUGUGCAUGCCUGAACUAAGAAGAGCUAUGAAAUACCUAUCUGGGAGCCCAGGAUCCUGGCAGUGCCUCUAGGCAGAGCAGGACUCACAUGUCUUGCUGUAUGAGCACUUUCUAUUUCAUAAGAUAGAGGCCUGAAAAUGCCAGUUUCUGUGCUUAUUUCUCCUCCUGCUGUAGAAAUUUCAUGGUUCUGACCCUCCAGAAAGAACUUGAGAAGCAAGUGUUUAAAGCUAGGCUUGCACUUUCAGGUGCUGCACAGAAUAUAAAAUACACCCAGCAUACUGUACAAUCAGUUUAUAUAUAGCAUACAUAUAUGGAGACAGAUAAAGUACUAUUUGUUAACAUAUCUAUACAAUCAGUUAGUAAAAAAAAUUGAGAAAAAAUAAUUACCUGGGUAAAAAUAUGGGAUUUAGUUGAUAUGCUAAUGCCCACUCUUAAAUCUACUACUCUGAAAAAUGAAAAUAUCCUGUAUACUCUGUGUGAUAUGUGAAGAUGCAUACCUGAAAGGCAGGCUUUCCAGCAUUUUGUGGUCAUGGACUACUACUGAUACAAUGAGAGGACUCAGCAUAUCUCCUGCUUGAUUUGGUGUUGUUGGUACAAUAAAGAGGUUCCUUGUCCUGCCUGUUGGCUACCACACAAAGGUUAUAGCUAUACAUAUCACAACAUCUUAGAAAAGCAGGGGGUGAAACGGAAAGCUGUCCACUAAGGAGUCCACUGGAGGUACUUUCACCGACUAGCCUGAGAAUAUAGGCAGGAGUUUUCUCCUAUGUGCAUCCAGGUCUGGAUAUUUAGGAUGUUUGCUCAAGGUCUCUCUCAUCUCGAAAACCUCUAUUAUCAAGAACAGGAUAACCUUCUUGGGUAAGCUUAAUCUCUGUUUAUUUAACAUUCCUAACAACUUUUAUAAAUAUCAUGAAUAUUUACUUUUCAUUAGACUCUAGGCUAAAAGGUGUUUAAAAAUCACACAAUCAGCUCCAUUUAUGAGCAGGAGGAAACCAACGUAGAACAAGGAUGUCCACUCCCUGAAGGGUACAGAUAGCUAGCUGCAGUUGCACAGGGAAAGCUUAACAGAUAACCAGGUUCCAGAGCCAGAAUGCACUGCCCAUGUGUGGAUAAUGACACCUAAAGAUUCAGGGUCCCAUGAUAAGAACUGUCAUGAGCCACAGAGAAAAUUAUGAUAACGUGUCUGUCAUACUUACGGUUGUAUUUAAGCCAAACAGAAAUUGGAGCAAAAAUAUUACGAGAAAUACCAGGCAGCCUGAGCCCUGGUGGCCAAGGGAGAGACAUCCUCAGAUGAAAGCAGUAGGAACUUGGCAAAAGCAUUGUCAGCAUGCAGCAAGACAGCCAUUGCCUUCUCCUGAGGAUUGGAGACAAAAGAGAUCCAAUGGGAAAGGGCUGUUUAUCAACUGCAUCCUUAGGUAUCCAUUGUUUGAAUGGGCUGAGUGCCAGUGAUAACCAGGUGAUAGGUGGUUGCCUAGGUGAUUCUGUGCAAAUCAGCCUCUGCCUUCCUUCCCAGAUCUAGUCAGUAACCCUCUCAUCACUACUGUCCUUGCUUUCCUCCCUAGCACCAUGGCAAGCCUGGAUACGUUUUCAUUUCCAUUACUGCUUUCAGUCUGGAAUUACACAAGUGUAGACUUGUAGACUAGGCAUCGUUUGGUAACAUCUUUACAGUUCUGUUUUUCACCUGAGCCAUUAGUACCAAGUCCUGUGAAGUCACCAUGUCCACCAACACGGCUAAGACACAUUUUGUCAGAGAAAUAGUUAACAGAUAAAGUACCUAAAGAUUAUCCUCUCUCUCUCUCUCUCUCUCUCUCUCUCUCUCUCUCACACACACACACACACAUACAUCACAAAAACACAAUGUACCCCCAUGUACUUAUAGAAGAUCAGUUCCCGAUUCAUAGGGGAAAGAAGAAUAAAAAGUGACGUGUCACACUGUAAUAUUUAUGAACCCAUUUGCUAAGGGUUUACACAUUUCAAUAUGAUGAAAUCGAGAAGGUUUAUAUUUGUUGUGUCCGGCCAGCAGACCACAACCUGGGUUCUAGCCUGGAAAGGCAUUUUGGAAACCUGGAAGAGAAGAGGGGCUAGGUGGCGAGAGAAAGAAAUGUAGCCAAGACAGUUAUUCUGAUCAAAGCUCAAAUUUUACUGUUGCGACACUAGUUAUGAAGGAAGGGGGAGGGGACCCGAUUCCCACCGAAUAAUCUCAGAUCCAGUAGUAGGGUGAGCAUGUGAUGGCUUCGGAACAGCAAAGCGGCAGGUUCCAGCAGUGGGCGUGGCAGAACGAAUGAGCAGGAAGCUCCACCCCUGAGCAAGCAGGUUUCAGGCUGGGGGAGGGGAGACUACAUAUAUUGAUUUUGAAUUACUAGCUGUUUUGUCCAGGAGAACAUUUUCUGCUUCUCUUUUUACCUAAUAUAGUGCUCACUGGUUACUUGUGGAAUUUGAACAUGUAAAAUGUAGAUGCUAUUCAUUCUUGAGCUUCCAGGCUCAGACCUAUGCACUCUUCCAUAGCUAUUAUCACUGGGCUGAAUUCAUGACCAAAGAGAAGUUUGUUUAGUGCUCUGAAGCUCAAGGGCCAAAUGUAUAGUACACUUGAAUGUUGACAAUGACAACUAAGAUUUGAAAACUAGAUCACCUUUAAGGUCUUGCAGUGAGACUGUAUGAUGCCAUCAAUUAAAACAGGGUCACUUCUACAUCUUACCCAAACUUCUUUACACAAGUUUAGUAGAGAAGCAAUCUACUCAAUACCAAGAUAUGAGAAAGAAUUGUGGUCUAUUUCCAAUAAGCAAGCUCCUAGUAG
rnacentral:lncRNA from 1 species